UAAGGAAUAUUGGUCAAUGGACGCAAGUCUGAACCAGCCAUGCCGCGUGAAGGAUGAAGGUCCUCUGGAUUGUAAACUUCUUUUAUCUGGGACGAAAACGGGAUUUUUAUCUCAAUUGACGGUACCAGAGGAAUAAGCACCGGCUAACUCCGUGCCAGCAGCCGCGGUAAUACGGAGGGUGCGAGCGUUAUCCGGAUUUACUGGGUUUAAAGGGUGCGUAGGUGGGCUUAUAAGUCAGUGGUGAAAUCUCCGAGCUUAACUUGGAAACUGCCGUGGAUACUAUAGGUCUUGAAUUAUCUGGAGGUAAGCGGAAUAUGUCAUGUAGCGGUGAAAUGCUUAGAUAUGACAUAGAACACCAAUUGCGAAGGCAGCUUACUACAUAUAAAUUGACGCUGAGGCACGAAAGCGUGGGGAUCAAACA
rnacentral:rRNA from 1 species